UACGUAGGGUCCGAGCGUUGUCCGGAAUUACUGGGCGUAAAGAGCUCGUAGGUGGUUUGUCGCGUUGUUCGUGAAAACUCACAGCUCAACUGUGGGCGUGCGGGCGAUACGGGCAGACUAGAGUACUGCAGGGGAGACUGGAAUUCCUGGUGUAGCGGUGGAAUGCGCAGAUAUCAGGAGGAACACCAAUGGCGAAGGCAGCUCUCUGGCUUAACACUGACGCUGAGGCGCGAAAGCGUGGGGAGCGAACGGG
rnacentral:rRNA from 1 species